UACAGAGGGUGCGAGCGUUAAUCGGAAUUACUGGGCGUAAAGGGCGCGUAGGCGGUGAGAUGAGUGUGGUGUGAAAGCCCUGGGCUUAACCUGGGAAGUGCAUCGCAAACGAUCUGACUGGAGUAUAAGAGAGGGUGGCGGAAUUUCCGGUGUAGCGGUGAAAUGCGUAGAGAUCGGAAGGAACGUCAAUGCGAAGGCAGCCACCUGGCUUAAUACUGACGCUGAAGCGCGAAAGCGUGGGGAGCGAACAGG
rnacentral:rRNA from 1 species